AGACUGAAGUGGAGAAAGGUUCCAUGGUAACAGCAGUUGGACAUGGGUUAGUCGAUCCUAAGAGAUAGGGAAGCUCCGUUUCAAAGUGCGCGAUUCUUCGCGCCGCCUAUCGAAAGGGAAUCCGGUUAAGAUUCCGGAACCAGGAUGUGGAUUUUUAACGGCAACGUAAAUGAACUUGGAGACGUUGGCGGGAGCCCCGGGAAGAGUUUUCUUUUCUCCUUAACCGUCUGCCACCUUGAAAUCGGAUUGUCCGGAGCUAAGGUUCAAUGGCGGGGAGAGCUCGACACCUCUGUCGGGGCCGGGGCGCUCUC
rnacentral:rRNA from 13 species